ACGAAUAAGGACCGGCUAAUUCCGUGCCAGCAGCCGCGGUAAUACGGAAGGUCCAGGCGUUAUCCGGAUUUAUUGGGUUUAAAGGGAGCGUAGGCUGGAGAUUAAGUGUGUUGUGAAAUGUAGACGCUCAACGUCUGAAUUGCAGCGCAUACUGGUUUCCUUGAGUACGCACAACGUUGGCGGAAUUCGUCGUGUAGCGGUGAAAUGCUUAGAUAUGACGAAGAACUCCGAUUGCGAAGGCAGCUGACGGGAGCGCAACUGACGCUUAAGCUCGAAGGUGCGGGUAUCAAACAGGAUUAGAUACCCUGGUAGUCCGCACAGUAAACGAUGGAUGCCCGCUGUUGGUACCUGGUAUCAGCGGCUAAGCGAAAGCAUUAAGCAUCCCACCUGGGGAGUACGCCGGCAACGGUGAAACUCAAAGGAAUUGACGGC
rnacentral:rRNA from 1 species